rnacentral:rRNA from 1 species
AUUGAACGCUGGCGGCAUGCCUUACACAUGCAAGUCGAACGGUAACGCGGGGCAACCUGGCGACGAGUGGCGAACGAGUGAGUAAUGUAUCGGAACGUGCCCAGUUGUGGGGGAUAACUGCUCGAAAGAGCAGCUAAUACCGCAUACGACCUGAGGGUGAAAGCGGGGGAUCGCAUGACCUCGCGCAAUUGGAGCGGCCGAUAUCAGAUUAGGUAGUUGGUGGGGUAAAGGCUCACCAAGCCGACGAUCUGUAGCUGGUCUGAGAGGACGACCAGCCACACUGGGACUGAGACACGGCCCAGACUCCUACGGGAGGCAGCAGUGGGGAAUUUUGGACAAUGGACGCAAGUCUGAUCCAGCCAUGCCGCGUGCGGGAAGAAGGCCUUCGGGUUGUAAACCGCUUUUGUCAGGGAAGAAACGCUCUGGGUUAAUACCUCGGGGUAAUGACGGUACCUGAAGAAUAAGCACCGGCUAACUACGUGCCAGCCGCCGCCGUAA